ACUCCUGCGGGAGGCAGCAGUGGGGAAUAUUGGACAAUGGGCGCAAGCCUGAUCCAGCCAUGCCGCGUGAGUGAUGAAGGCCCUAGGGUUGUAAAGCUCUUUCACCGGAGAAGAUAAUGACGGUAUCCGGAGAAGAAGCCCCGGCUAACUUCGUGCCAGCAGCCGCGGUAAUACGAAGGGGGCUAGCGUUGUUCGGAAUUACUGGGCGUAAAGCGCACGUAGGCGGAUCGAUCAGUCAGGGGUGAAAUCCCAGGGCUCAACCCUGGAACUGCCUUUGAUACUGUCGAUCUGGAGUAUGGAAGAGGUGAGUGGAAUUCCGAGUGUAGAGGUGAAAUUCGUAGAUAUUCGGAGGAACACCAGUGGCGAAGGCGGCUCACUGGUCCAUUACUGACGCUGAGGUGCGAAAGCGUGGGGAGCAAACAGGAUUAGAUACCCGUGUAGUCCC
rnacentral:rRNA from 1 species